rnacentral:tRNA from 1 species
AAUGUAGAGCCUGAAUAAAGGAUUAUCGUGAUAGGAUAAAAUAUGUAAGACAAGUUACCUACAUUA